rnacentral:rRNA from 1 species
CGAGGGGCAUCAGUUUGGUUUGCUUGCAAACCAAAGCUGGCGACCGGCGCACGGGUGAGUAACACGUAUCCAACCUGCCUCAUACUCGGGGAUAGCCUUUCGAAAGAAAGAUUAAUAUCCGAUAGCAUAUAUUUCCCGCAUGGGUUUUAUAUUAAAGAAAUUCGGUAUGAGAUGGGGAUGCGUUCCAUUAGUUUGUUGGGGGGGUAACGGCCCACCAAGACUACGAUGGAUAGGGGUUCUGAGAGGAAGGUCCCCCACAUUGGAACUGAGACACGGUCCAAACUCCUACGGGAGGCAGCAGUGAGGAAUAUUGGUCAAUGGACGCGAGUCUGAACCAGCCAAGUAGCGUGAAGGAUGACUGCCCUAUGGGUUGUAAACUUCUUUUAUAUGGGAAUAAAGUUGUCCACGUGUGGAUUUUUGUAUGUACCAUAUGAAUAAGGAUCGGCUAACUCCGUGCCAGCAGCCGCGGUAAUACGGAGGAUCCGAGCGUUAUCCGGAUUUAUUGGGUUUAAAGGGAGCGUAGGCGGAUUGUUAAGUCAGUUGUGAAAGUUUGCGGCUCAACCGUAAAAUUGCAGUUGAUACUGGCAGUCUUGAGUGCAGUAGAGGUGGGCGGAAUUCGUGGUGUAGCGGUGAAAUGCUUAGAUAUCACGAAGAACUCCGAUUGCGAAGGCAGCUCACUGGAGU